CGCCCGUCAAACCACGGGAGCUGGUAAUACCCGAAGUCGGUUUAGUUAACUACGGAAACGACCGCCUAAGGUAGGACUGGUGACUGGGGUUAAGUCGUAACAAGGUAUCCCUACGAGAACGUGGGGAUGGAUUACCUCCUUUCUAACGGAGUACAUUAUUAACUUACAUUUUUAGACUAUUUAUUUUAUAUUUUAAGUCAUGUACAUUGUAAUAGUCCAAUGGUAUAUCUAGUUUUGAGAGAACUUCUCUCAAAUGUUCUUUGAAAACUGAAUAGUAAAGAUAUUAUUAAUAUAACAACGACAUCAAAAAAACAAGUCAAUUUGUUUUGUUGAACCGAGUUAAAUUAUUGCAAAAAUAAUUUAUUAAAAUGUCUUUGAAUACAUCAACAAUAGGAAAAUAACAUAACUUUUAAAUAAGUAAGAGUUUGUGGUGGAUGCCUUGGGUCUGGAAGUCGAUGAAGGACGUGAUUACCUGCGAUAAGCCUCGUGGAGCUGGAUAUACGCUACGAUACGGGGAUGUCCGAAUGGGGAAACCUAACUAGAGUAAUGUCUAGUUGCUUUGUAAUGAAUCCAUAGUUACAUAGACGAGAGACGUUGUGAACUGAAACAUCUUAGUAGCAACAGGAAAAGAAAAUAAACAAUGAUUCCAUCAGUAGCGGCGAGCGAACGUGGAAGAGCCCAAACCAACACAUGUUGGGGUUGUAGGACUAUCUACAUGAAGUUACAAAAUUUUGUUAUAGUAGAAUUUGCUGGGAAGCAAAAGCAUAGAAGGUGAUACUCCUGUAUACGAAAUAACAAAAUCUUCUGAUAGUAUCCUGAGUAGGGCGGGGCACGUGAAACCCUGUCUGAAUCUGCCGGGACCAUCCGGUAAGGCUAAAUACUAACCAGACACCGAUAGUGAACUA
rnacentral:sRNA from 2 species